rnacentral:lncRNA from 1 species
GAGAGGAUGUUGAAGAUUUCUCUAAGAUUUUGUGGGCUCACGACACUCGUAGCUCACUUUCUCACUUCCCGAACCCCAGGCUAAAACUCUAGGGAACUCACUGGAAACCUUGCACCCACUUUUCUUUCUUUUUUUUUUUUUUCUUGGAAGGAUACGGACUUUCUUCUCAUGCACAAGACUUCUCACGCCCCAAAAUUUUUCUCCAAAAAUCUUCUUCUUGGACGCCCCACUCUUCUCCUCCUUUUAUAACAACGUCAAACGUCUUAUCUAAAAGAAAGGAUAAAGAUGAGUAAUUGCACAUUUGAAUUCAAAUCAAAUUUUGAAUUCAAAUGGAC